UCGAGGCUAAGAGCAGACAGACAGCUAAGCACAUGAGACUUGAGAAGAGCUAGAGCUAAAGAGCAGUGAUGAGCAUCGAAGAGAAACACUCUACUGAGAUCGAGAGAAGCCACUAAGCCUCUGUUUGUGAAGACGAAGGAUUCAAGAUAUUUAGCAGUGCCAGCAUCAUGUAACUGCACUGACUUUGAGCAACAAAGUUGUAGCUAUGAAUGGAUGAUUUACGAGGGAAAUUAACAAUUUAAUUAAUAGCUUGAUCACUUUAGCGUAUUGUGUAUUCACACUGUUAUACUUCUUAGUAUUAUAGUUGAUUCGAUUCAUAA